GACGAACGCUGGCGGCGUGCUUAACACAUGCAAGUCGAACGGUGAAGGGAUCAGCUUGCUGGUUCUGGAUGAGUGGCGAACGGGUGAGUAACACGUGAGUAACCUGCCCCCUUCUUCUGGAUAACCGCAUGAAAGUGUGGCUAAUACGGGAUAUUCUGCGCCUGCUGCAUGGUGGGUGUGGGAAAGAUAUUGUUUCGGUGGGGGAUGGGCUCGCGGCCUAUCAGCUUGUUGGUGGGGUGAUGGCCUACCAAGGCGGUGACGGGUAGCCGGCCUGAGAGGGUGGACGGUCACACUGGGACUGAGACACGGCCCAGACGCCUACGGGAGGCAGCAGUGGGGAAUAUUGCACAAUGGGCGCAAGCCUGAUGCAGCGACGCCGCGUGAGGGAUGGAGGCCUUCGGGUUGUGAACCUCUUUCGCCAGUGAAGCAGGCCUGUCCCUUGUGGGUGGGUUGACGGUAGCUGGAUAAGAAGCGCCGGCUAACUACGUG
rnacentral:rRNA from 1 species